rnacentral:rRNA from 1 species
GGAGUUAGCCGGUGCUUCUUCUGCGAGUAACGUCACAGAUGUAAGGUAUUAACUUACACCCUUUCCUCCUCGCUGAAAGUGCUUUACAACCCGAAGGCCUUCUUCACACACGCGGCAUGGCUGCAUCAGGGUUUCCCCCAUUGUGCAAUAUUCCCCACUGCUGCCUCCCGUAGGAGUCUGGGCCGUGUCUCAGUCCCAGUGUGGCUGAUCAUCCUCUCAGACCAGCUAGGGAUCGUCGCCUAUGUGAGCCUUUACCUCACCUACUAGCUAAUCCCACCUGGGCUUAUCCAUCAGCGCAAGGCCCGAAGGUCCCCUGCUUUCCCCCGUAGGGCGUAUGCGGUAUUAGCAGUCGUUUCCAACUGUUAUCCCCCACAAAUGGGCAAAUUCCCAGGCAUUACUCACCCGUCCGCCGCUCGUCAUCUUCAAAAGCAAGCUUUUGAAAUGUUACCGCUCGACUUGCAUGUGUUAGGCCUGCCGCCAGCGUUCAAUCUGAGCCAGGAUCAAACUCUGA